rnacentral:rRNA from 1 species
CCCUUAGAUGUCCUGGGCCGCACGCGUGCUACACUGACGCCUACAGCGAGUACUUCCCAGCCCCGAGAGGUGGCUGGUAAUCAGCAAUAGGCGUCGUGAUGGGGAUAGAUCUUUGGAAUUAUGGAUCUUGAACGAGGAAUGCCUAGUAAGCGCAGGUCAUUAGCCUGCGCUGAUUAAGUCCCUGCCCUUUGUACACACCGCCCGUCGCUCCUACCGAUUUCGAGUGGUCCGGUGAAUCUUUCGGACUGCGCGCGGCCUCGUGCCGUGUCGCGGAAAGUCAGGUAAACCUUAUCACUUAGAGGAAGGGGAAGUCGUAACA